UACAGAGGGGGCAAGCGUUGUUCGGAAUUACUGGGCGUAAAGGGCGCGUAGGUGGCCUUCUAAGUUGAACGUGAAAUCCCUGGGCUCAACCCAGGAACUGCGUCCAAGACUGGGAGGCUUGAAUCCGGGAGAGGGAUGCGGAAUUCCAGGUGUAGCGGUGAAAUGCGUAGAUAUCUGGAGGAACACCGGUGGCGAAGGCGGCAUCCUGGACCGAGAUUGACGCUGAGGCGCGAAAGCCAGGGAAGCAAACGGG
rnacentral:rRNA from 1 species